AGAACGAACGCUGGCGGCAGGCCUAACACAUGCAAGUCGAACGCCCGUAGCAAUACGGGAGUGGCAGACGGGUGAGUAACGCGUGGGAACGUGCCCUUCGGUUCGGAAUAACUCAGGGAAACUUGAGCUAAUACCGGAUACGUCCGUAAGGAGAAAGAUUUAUUGCCGAAGGAUCGGCCCGCGUCGGAUUAGCUAGUUGGUGGGGUAAUGGCCCACCAAGGCGACGAUCCGUAGCUGGUCUGAGAGGAUGAUCAGCCACACGGGCGUAGAGACGACGGACCCGACGAACUCCGUACCGGGAGGGCGAGCAGGUAGGGGAAGUAUUGGACGAAUAGGGACGGAAACGACC
rnacentral:rRNA from 1 species